rnacentral:rRNA from 1 species
AGAGUUUGAUCAUGGCUCAGGACGAACGCUGGCGGCGUGCUUAACACAUGCAAGUCGAACGGAAAGGCCCUUUCGGGGGUGCUCGAGUGGCGAACGGGUGAGUAACACGUGGGUGAUCUGCCCUGCACUUCGGGAUAAGCUUGGGAAACUGGGUCUAAUACCGGAUAGGACCACGGCCUGCAUGGGUUGUGGUGGAAAACGUUUUAGUGGUGUGGGAUGGGCCCGCGGCCUAUCAGCUUGUUGGUGGGGUGAUGGCCUACCAAGGCGACGACGGGUAGCCGGCCUGAGAGGGUGUCCGGCCACACUGGGACUGAGAUACGGCCCAGACUCCUACGGGAGGCAGCAGUGGGGAAUAUUGCACAAUGGGCGCAAGCCUGAUGCAGCGACGCCGCGUGGGGGAUGACGGCCUUCGGGUUGUAAACCUCUUUCACCAUCGACGAAGCUGGAUGCUUUUGUGUCCGGUGACGGUAGGUGGAGAAGAAGCACCGGCCAACUACGUGCCAGCAGCCGCGGUAAUACGUAGGGUGCGAGCGUUGUCCGGAAUUACUGGGCGUAAAGAGCUCGUAGGUGGUUUGUCGCGUUGUUCGUGAAAUUCCCUGGCUUAACUGGGGGCGUGCGGGCGAUACGGGCAGACUGGAGUACUGCAGGGGAGACUGGAAUUCCUGGUGUAGCGGUGGAAUGCGCAGAUAUCAGGAGGAACACCGGUGGCGAAGGCGGGUCUCUGGGCAGUAACUGACGCUGAGGAGCGAAAGCGUGGGGAGCGAACAGGAUUAGAUACCCCGGUAGUCC